rnacentral:lncRNA from 13 species
CAGUAAAAUAAAUAUGAUACGGUAAACAUGACAAAUCGAUGCACAUGUAAUAGAGUAAGAUUUCCCAAUAACCAAGUAACCACUAAUAAUAAGUCAGUAAUUUUAAUAUUUCUAGACAUUUAUUUUUAUCAUUUAAUGGCGAUUGUCCUAAAUUCAAAUUCAAUCAAUUUCAAAUUAAGAUUUGAUAUCGGUUUCAUCAGUUUAUAAUUCAUCAUUCAUCACAUGGUCCUACUAUAUAUUCAUCAUCUAUUUCAUAAUUGAACUCACUGCUACAUUUACUCGAAUUUACCCUACAUUUCUCUCAAAUUUUUAUCUGGAGCAAAUAGUUCAACCAAAGAAGAUCAUACGAAGCAAAAUUGAACUUUCAGGCACGUUAUAUCGAUGUAUUCAUAUCUCUAUCGACAAUUUCGUGAAAACCGAGGCUUUUGUCGCUUAGCGACGAACCAACGAUUGUCAAUCCUUCCCGGUAUCGGAUUCGUAACAAAUCGAUUUAGCCAGGUUCCUUAUACCACCGACACGUUUCAGCAAGCAAAUCCCAUCACCAGGAAGACGAGAGCGCGGUCAAGGAAAGAGGAUUAUUCUCCGACGUGCGAUGACUUCCACCCGACCCUCUUCCUUUGCAUCCACUUUCUGUAUCAGUUUCUCCCACGACAGUCGACCAAGAGAUCGAGUUCUACUUUCUAACUACAGCAGCUACCAGCUUCCUAGUGCAACGUGAUUCGAUCGUGGAAUUAUCAGGAGUCGAUAAACGAAUCAGCUGCGAAAGUCAUGUCUAAAGUUUCUUCGCAACUUUUACCAAUAUACAUAGAGAGAGAAGAAUCGCACAAUUUUGACUCAGCAUGACAAUAUUAAACCUAUCACAAAAUCAAUGUGUUAAUAAUUAAGUGGAAAUUACAUAAUUAUUCUCCUUUUAAAUUCAAUAUAUUCUCCUUUUAAAUUCAUUGCAAUUAAUACAUCAUAGAAGUAGAAAUUAAAUAUCUUUGAAUCAAAAAAGCAAAGAGAAUUAUACAUUAUCUAAUAUCUUUGGUUAUUUGAAUAAAUUAAUUUCGAUAAUUUAA